UUUUUCAAAAAAAAUUUUUUUUAUUUUUUUACCCACGAAUUCUGUAAUUUUUCAUAAAAUCGUCCAUAACUCUUUUAUUUUGAGAUUUACGGCUAAAUGUUAUUCUUUAUGAUUUGUUCUAUUUUUAACUAGGAAUCCAAUGCUAAAAGAAAAUUUUCCAUAUUCUGAAUAGCUUUCGAGAAAAUGAGGAAAAACUGUUAAGAGGUUUUUCCCAAUUUUCUGGAAAACCGUUGGAGGAAAAAAUUAUUUUUCAAGUGCAUUGGAUGCCCAUUGACAUUCCAAACAAUUUUUGUUCCAACAAUUUUUUUCUCCAACCAAUAGUUUUCCAGAAAAAAAAUAAAAACCGAAAUUAUGAACAUUUUCCCAGGGGUACCCCUUUGAAUCUUUUGAGGAAGAAAUUUUUCGGAAAAUUGGGUAGAACUUUUUCCAGGUGCAUUUUUUGAAAAAGUUUUAUAAGACUUUUUUGAAGUGUUUUAGACGAUUUAUCGAUUUGCCAAAAAAAAAAAAUUAAAUUUUUUUUCCAAUUUUUUACCCAAAAAUUCUGUAAUUUUUCAUAAAAUCGUCCAUAACUCUUUUAUUUUAAGAUUUCCGGCUAAAUGUUAUUCUUUAUGAUUUGUUCUAUUUUUGACUAGGAAUCCAAUGCUAAAAGAAAAUUUUCCAUAUUCUGAAUAGUUUUCGAGAAAAUGAGGAAAAACUGUUUAGAAGUUUUUCCCAAUUUUCCGGGAAACUGUUGGAUUUAAAAAUUAUUUUUCUAUUGCAUCUAAUGCACAUUGACAUUCUAAACAACUUUUGUCCUAACAAUUUUUUUCUCCAACCAAUAGUUUUCCAGAAAAAAAAUAAAAACCGAAAUUAUGAACAUUUUUUCAGGGGUACCCCUUUGGAUUUUUUGAGGAAGAAAUUUUUCGGAAAAUUGGGUAUAACUUUUUCCAGGUGCAUUUUUUGAAAAAGUUUUAUAAGACUUUUUUGAAGUGUUUUAGACGAUUUAUCGAUUUGCCAAAAAAAAAAAUUAAAUUUUUUUUCCAAUUUUUUACCCAAAAAUUCUGUAAUUUUUCAUAAAAUCGUCCAUAACUCUUUUAUUUUAAGAUUUCCGGCUAAAUGUUAUUCUUUAUGAUUUGUUCUAUUUUUGACUAGGAAUCCAAUGCUAAAAGAAAAUUUUCCAUAUUCUGAAUAGUUUUCGAGAAAAUGAGGAAAAACUGUUUAGAAGUUUUUCCCAAUUUUCCGGGAAACUGUUGGAUUUAAAAAUUAUUUUUCUAUUGCAUCUAAUGCACAUUGACAUUCUAAACAACUUUUGUCCUAACAAUUUUUUUCUCCAACCAAUAGUUUUCCAGAAAAAAAAUAAAAACCGAAAUUAUGAACAUUUUUUCAGGGGUACCCCUUUGGAUUUUUUGAGGAAGAAAUUUUUCGGAAAAUUGGGUAUAACUUUUUCCAGGUGCAUUUUUCAAAAAAGUUUUAUAAGACUUUUUUGAAGUGUUUUAGACGAUUUAUCGAUUUGCCAAAAAAAAAAAUUAAAUUUUUUCAAAAAUUUUUCUUUCAAUUUUUUACCCAAAAAUUCUGUAAUUUUUCAUAAAAUCGUCCAUAACUCUUUUAUUUUAAGAUUUCCGGCUAAAUGUUAUUCUUUAUGAUUUGUUCUAUUUUUGACUAGGAAUCCAAUGCUAAAAGAAAAUUUUCCAAAUUCUGAAUAGCUUUCGAGAAAAUGAGGAAAAACUGUAAAGAGGUUUUUCCCAAUUUUCUGAAAAACUGUUGGUGAAAAAAAUUAUUUUUCAAUUGCGUUCGAUGCCCAUUGACAUUCCAAACAACUUUUGUUCGAACAAUUUUUCUCUCCAACCAAUAGUUUUCCAGAAAAAAAAUAAAAACCGAAAUUAUGAACAUUUUUCCAGGGGCUCCCCUUUGGAUUUUUUGAGGAAGAAAUUUUUCGGAAAAUUGAGUAUAACUUUUUCCAGGUGCAUUUUUUGAAAAAGUUUUAUAAGACUUUUUUGAAGUGUUUUAGACGAUUUAUCGAUUUGCCAAAAAAAAAAUUAAAUU